AUUGAACGCUGGCGGCAGGCUUAACACAUGCAAGUCGAGCGGGGGAAGGUAGCUUGCUACCUAACCUAGCGGCGGACGGGUGAGUAAUGCUUAGGAAUCUGCCUAUUAGUGGGGGACAACAUUUCGAAAGGGAUGCUAAUACCGCAUACGCCCUAAGGGGGAAAGCAGGGGAUCUUCGGACCUUGCGCUAAUAGAUGAGCCUAAGUCGGAUUAGCUAGUUGGUGGGGUAAAGGCCUACCAAGGCGACGAUCUGUAGCGGGUCUGAGAGGAUGAUCCGCCACACUGGGACUGAGACACGGCCCAGACGCCUACGGGAGGCAGCAGUGGGGAAUAUUGGACAAUGGGGGGAACCCUGAUCCAGCCGUGCCGCGUGUGUGAAGAAGGCCUUUUGGUUGUAAAGCACUUUAAGCGAGGAGGAGGCUACCGAGAUUAAUACUCUUGGAUAGUGGACGUUACUCGCAGAAUAAGCACCGGCUAACUCUGUGCCAGCCGCCGCCGUAA
rnacentral:rRNA from 1 species